CAUUGUACUGGGUACACUUCAUGGUUGGAUCAUGGCUGUAAUUUAUGGUACAGGAGUCUAAAGGUGAGCUGUCACAAUACCUCUCUACGAAAUCGUUGGAAAUUAGGGAAAUUUAGUUUUAUCAACUGGGUUGAUAACGUAAAUAAGCCAUCAUAAAGAGUUUCAAAGCUGGCGUUUCGAGCGUUAUUACCCUUCGUCAGAGCGAAUGAUGAAGGGCUAACGCUCGAUUGAAACAUCAGGUUUGGUAUUUUCAGAGAGAGGAAAUUUUUAGGCUUUGUAAAUGAAUAGUUACAGUAACAAGUGCGUAAAACUUGUAGAAUUUCAAUAAGUGUUAUAUCUGUGACAACCCCUUGUUUUGAGAUGAACUGAGUUAAUAAACAUGUCGAAAAAUUA